rnacentral:rRNA from 1 species
UACAUGGGGUGCAAACGUUGCUCGGAAUUAUUGGGCGUAAAGCGCACGUAGGCGGUUUGUUAAGUCGGAUGUGAAAGCCCUUGGCUCAACCGGGGAAGUGCACUCGAAACUGCAAGGCUAGAGUCUCGGAGAGGAUCGUGGAAUUCUCGGUGUAGAGGUGAAAUUCGUAGAUAUCGAGAGGAACACCGGUGGCGAAGGCGGCGAUCUGGACGAUGACUGACGCUGAGACGCGAAAGCGUGGGGAUCAAACAGG